UGGGGAAUUUUGGACAGUGGGCGAAAGCCUGAUCCAGCAAUGCCGCGUGUGUGAAGAAGGCCUUCGGGUUGUAAAGCACUUUUGUCCGGAAAGAAAUCCUUGGCUCUAAUACAGUCGGGGGAUGACGGUACCGGAAGAAUAAGCACCGGCUAACUACGUGCCAGCAGCCGCGGUAAUACGUAGGGUGCAAGCGUUAAUCGGAAUUACUGGGCGUAAAGCGUGCGCAGGCGGUUUGCUAAGACCGAUGUGAAAUCCCCGGGCUCAACCUGGGAACUGCAUUGGUGACUGGCAGGCUAGAGUAUGGCAGAGGGGGGUAGAAUUCCACGUGUAGCAGUGAAAUGCGUAGAGAUGUGGAGGAAUACCGAUGGCGAAGGCAGCCCCCUGGGCCAAAUACUGACGCUCAUGCACGAAAAGCGUGGGGAGCAAACAGGAUUAGAUACCCUGGUAGUCCACGCCCUAAAACGAUGUCAACUAGUUGUUGGGGAUUCAUUUCCUUAGUAACGUAGCUAACGCGUGAAGUUGACCGCCUGGGGAGUACGGUCGCAAGAUUAAAACUCAAAUGAAUUGACGGGGUCAUAGCUGUUUCCU
rnacentral:rRNA from 1 species